UGGAUGAUGUGGAUUAAUUCGAUGCAACGCGAAAACCUUACCUACCCUUGACAUGCCUGGAGCCUUGGUGAGAGCCGAGGGUGCCUUCGGGAGCCAGAACACAGGUGCUGCAUGGCCGUCGUCAGCUCGUGCCGUGAGGUGUUGGGUUAAGUCCCAUAACGAGCGCAACCCUUUUACUUAGUUGCCAGCAUGUAAUGAUGGGGACUCUAAGUAGACUGCCUGUGUAAGCAGGAGGAAGGAGGGGAUGAGGUCAGGUCAUCAUGGCUCUUACGCCCAGGGCUACACACGUGCUACAAUGGCGUGUACAGAAGGAAGCUACUUGGUAACAAGCGGCCAAUCCCGAAAGCACGUCUCAGUUCGGAUUGAGGUCUGCAACUCGACCUCAUGAAGUUGGAAUCGCUAGUAAUCGCGGAUCAGCAUGCCGCGGUCGAAUACGUUCCCGGGCCUU
rnacentral:rRNA from 1 species